rnacentral:rRNA from 1 species
UGGGGAAUUUUGGACAAUGGGCGAAAGCCUGAUCCAGCAAUGCCGCGUGUGUGAUGAAGGCCUUCGGGUUGUAAAGCACUUUUGGCGGGAACGAAAAGGACUGUGCCAAUACCACGGUUCGAUGACGGUACCCGCAGAAUAAGCACCGGCUAACUACGUGCCAGCAGCCGCGGUAAUACGUAGGGUGCAAGCGUUAAUCGGAAUUACUGGGCGUAAAGAGUGCGCAGGCGGUUUUGCAAGACCGAUGUGAAAUCCCCGGGCUUAACCUGGGAACUGCAUUGGUGACUGCAAGGCUAGAGUGUGUCAGAGGGAGGUGGAAUUCCGCAUGUAGCAGUGAAAUGCGUAGAUAUGCGGAGGAACACCGAUGGCGAAGGCAGCCUCCUGGGAUAACACUGACGCUCAUGCACGAAAGCGUGGGGAGCAAACAGG